rnacentral:lncRNA from 1 species
ACACAUAAUUUCACAGUGUAACAUGUAUAUUAAGCUUGAAUUAUUCGAUGGUCAGGUAAAUCACAACCUGUUAAAACUGAAGAGUUUUAUUUGACAGCUGGUACACAAGAAGUUGUUACACCACAGGUGUCCACACUAUUUCCGAAAAUACUAUUUACAAAAUAUAUAAAAUUAAUUAAUGUCAGUGUAGAAAAAAUAAUUAAUUUGUUUGUUUGUCGUUAAUCAUGAUCGACUUCGUCUUAUAUUCAUAAUUUGUAUAGAUCAUUAAAAAUUGAAUACUUAUUGUGUUCAUUAUUAAUUGGGCUUGUAUUAAGUUUUUUUCUAUGAUUGUCGGUAAAUUGUUUUCUAAGUGUGUUUUUUUUUCAAAAUCUACAUUAUGAGCUUGCAUUGAGUUUUUUUUUUUUUUUUUAUGGUUGUCGGUUUAUUUAUGGUUUCUCCUUUUCACGGAUUGUGUAUUUAGGACUUACAUUUAAUGAUCAUUUAAUAGAAAAUGGCAAUAUAAGUCUCACUUUUGACCUCGAAUAGAAAGAGAUUAAACCAUAUUUUAAGUGUAAGGAACUGAUAAAUAUACGAUAAAGACUCAGAGCAGCAGGUAUUGCUGCCUUUUCAUGUAACAAUUUUUGUAAGAAGAAACAUUUUACUAUGUUAUACUUCUGUCAGCUUGGUAAGUUGACUUCAAAGCAUACCCCUUUUUCAAUGCCACAUUGAUAUCUAAAUGUUUCGAAAUGUACACGUUUCCCUUCUUUCUUUCUUUUUAACUUUUGGACUAGUUAAAAUCUCCUUUUAGUUUUGAAACGGACAUGCACAUGUGUAAAUAGUUUUACAACUAUUUGACUUGAUUUGUAAGUUAAAACCUUUUUGUUUUACUUUAUACAAACUGCACGAAAAUGCCCCUACCUUUGUUGUUGAUCAGACUGAUUUAAUUGAUGGUUGCCUAACGUCCAGUGGAAAAUAUUUCAUGGCAUAUUUUUAAUAUAUUGAUGUGCGAGUGUAUGACAUUUCUUUUCUGUACAGUAUAUGCAAUAUAAUAUUGAAUCUCCACAAGAAACCAAAUGAUAGACAUUAACAACUGUAGGUAACCAUAAGGCUCUUAGCAAUGAGUAAAAUUCAUACUGCACUGCGAACUAUACAAGGUCUAUUUACAUGUAUGAAAAAGGUUUAACAAUUCAAACAAGAAAACUAACCGCCCGAUUUAUUUACAAAAUAAUCCAAAUAUGAUAUACAGCAACAAACCACAAGUGAAUUACAGGCUUCUUACUUUGGAAAGACACAAAG